rnacentral:lncRNA from 1 species
CAAAAGUUAGUGAACUUUGCAAUGCUAACAUAAUAGCACAUAGCCAUUUAAAACCCCCAGCAUGCAAUGCUAAGGGAAACCUCAUUGACCUUAUUAACACAUGAAAAUCAAUAGAAGUCACGAUCUUAACAAACUAAAAAAAAAACAUUGAACUUUCAGCACACAUUCAAAACGUUUCCCACAUGUUUCAAGGCUAUGUAAAACAAGUGAUCACAGCCGCAGUGUUGAAUCAAGAAAAAAGACAAACCUAACUGGCUAACUGAGUCAAUAAGAGGGUAUCCCAGUAUAAAAAACAGCUUUCAUAUCUUCUGGGGAUAAUCCAUUAAAUUCAUAUUUGAUUAAUCAUGUAUGUCUCAUUGUGCGUGUUUCUUAACCAUAUGACACUGCAACAAAGGGAUGCACAUACAAUUCCCACAUACAGUAUGCUUUACAUAUAAAGUAACAGGGCCAGAUCGCUGUAGCACAAAGACACAGAGUAUAUUAAGACAUUAAAUUACUAACUUGCACAUAUAAACAAGUUGGUGAUUCCUUGUAGCCAUAAAAUGACUAAAGUAGGUGGUAAAGAUCUACAAACUCCAGGUUUCAAGGUUUAACCAUGCAACUCAACCAGGAAAUAAAUAUUGCUUGAUCUAGAAAGAUCAGGACCAAACCUGAUCCGGUAAAAAGUGUCUCUAGUUAUCGCCUGUAUAGAAUCAGACACUGAUUAAACCAACAAAAGGUUCUAGUUCUCAAGAUAUAAAUGGAGAACAGACAAUAUUCUCAUAACCGGAGUACCGGACAAUGCCUAACACACCUUGAUAUAGUUUCUAUUUUCGUUGGUUUGGGGGAAAAAUAACCAGUUCCAUCUGGAGUGUGAUCAUACCUGAAAGAUUCAUUUCAGUUUUUGUCUGAACCAUAAAUGCUAGAACAUUUAGCUCUAUUCAUUUGUACCAGCAAUACAGUAACUACACUCCAUUCAGACAGCUUUACGAAAUGGACCAAUGCAGACCAAAAAACUACCUAGCCUAAGUAAUCGAUAACAAGGCACUAGGUGCAACCCAGUGCCUGAAUAGAGCCUAAUGCCCCCAUUGAAAAAUAAAGUGGAGGUACUAAUGUACAUCGCUGAACAAAAAUAAAAGCAGUAGAACAUAGAUAUAACUCAAGCAUCCUUCAUUCCUGCUUGAGUGAUUGCAGUACUUAAGUUGUUAUGAUCCAGACCCAAAACCUAUAUAUUGUGACCCAGAUGCAGUGACUGAACUGUGUGCAUGCAUGAGUGUAAAUGGAUCAUAGCAUUUUCUCUAGCAGUCUAGGCAAGCAAAAUCUACAUCCAUGUUUAAAGCUACGUUACACAGAUACGUGAGGUUGGCCACGUAUCCCGUAUCGGAUACGUAUCCGAUACGGAUACGCACUGGAUACGGGAUGGAUACGUGUCCAUGAAGUAUCGGCAAAAAAAUAAAUAAAACAAAAUUCCGAUACGUGGACUGAUACGUAUCCAAGCUAUUUGGGCGUUUGCGAUACGGCAUAGCAUACCCAACAAGCCAACACUGAGGUGGGCUAAUCGCCGGCCACGCGCAGCUCCGCACCCGCACCCCGCGCCGCACCCGUGCCGGCGAGGUCCGUGCUGCAUCUGCACCUGGCGGGCUGCCCGCCAGCCCCGCACCGAGCCGCACCCCGCGCUGGACGAGCUCUGCGCCGGCGAGGUUCGCGUGCUGCAUUCGCGUCAGACGGGCCGCCUGCUAGCCACGCGCGUGGGGUGGAGUGGGGCGCAGCCAUGGUCACUUGGCCGCCUGCGCCGAGAGGGACCUCGUUCAGCGGCGCGGGAAGAGGAAGGCAUGGCGCCGAUGGAGGAGCUGCGAGGAGCAGGCCAGCAGGAGCACAGUCGUGCAAAAUGGUGGGGAACAAUGUUGGGGAGAGAGAAUAUUAAAAAAAUCUAAUCUUGGGUCCAGCUAAGUACAGGCAGGGAAGACGUGUUGUACAUUUACAUGCCAAAAAUACCCCUCCAACUGCCACUACAGGUAGAAGUAGCAAUUAGGUGUGAAAUGAUUGUAGUAGUCUAUAGAGAUCAUCCAUACAUACCGAUCGGCUGCAACAAUUUUAAUGUCCUUUAUUUUUUGUAAAAAUAAAUAAAAAAAACGUAUCCACGUAUCGGGUUUUUUCAAAAACUGGCGUAUCCGCAUAUCCGUAUCCGUCCGAUACUGAUACACGUAUCCGUAUCCGUGCUGCAUAGGUUUAAAGCCAAACUUUACAGGCCCAUAUGUCAUCUUAGUUAUAUCAUCUUAGUUUCACUAGUUGAAUUCAGUCAACAUUCCUAGGUAACAAUCUAAGUUACAUCAUAUCAUAGCAAUCUAAGACUGACUUCAAUAGAAUGUUCGGAGUGCAUGCCACCAAAAAGCUAAGGGCAGCUCCAGUGUAUAAUUUCUUAGCAAGGUGCAAGGCUAGCCUUGAAACAAGGUGUUCUACUAGUUAAACAAGCUCCAACCCAGAUGUAAUAAAAAUAUAUAGUAUCCCAACUUUUCUUAACAUGGAUGGUGGAUGGAGAGAGAAUGAGUGGUGGUGCAUUUAGUCUUGGCAACAGGUGCAAUACUGUCUAACAUAUAGCACCUCACUUCUCUCUCAUCAUUGCACAUCCAUAGCACACACAAUAGAGCUGCCAAGCACACCAUCCAAAAUUAGCAACAGGCACUAGUUAACUAGCAGAGAGAAUACUGGAAAUCAUUACAACAACCAAGCAAGGGUCUCCUAAAGACAACUCCAAAGAAAAGCAAGAAACAAAGGAUAUAGAGGUGAAGUGGUAUAAUAACACAUGCCUAGCUUAAGCAUAAGUCCAUGUUUCCAUGAACAGCUAUAAAUUGACAGUUAAAGGAGGAACAACAAAUCAGUCCACAAGAGGGUCAAGAGUACCUAUCUAAGAUGCCUUAGUAAAUUCAUCAUUCCAAAUAUAAUUAUCCAGUCAAAAGUAGCAUUUAAGUCAAAAUAUGCAGCAUAGUUGCACAUUGCUAAUAACACACAUUAAUAAACACCGAGACAAGUCCAACUGGGCCCCUUAAAUACAAAUAUAAAGAAUGCUAUCAUAAAGAAGUUAUUUUCCCCCAAAACUAUCACGCUUACAAUACCCCCAUGUUAAUUUACACCCAAAACAACAAUUUUUCACAUUAAUUAUGAUUUCACCAUGUACCUUUUCUGAUGGAACGUAACAUUUCCAGAUGAGACGUAGGAGAUAUCUCUUCUUAAAUUACCAGUCCUACAGUGAGGAUGUUUCAUACGAUAGAUACAUAAAAAAAGGAUGCCAACUGACAUUAUGUUGCCACGUUUUCACUAGAUCUGAAUCACUAAGUUUACUUUCUAGUUUAGUUAUAAUUACCCUUGUAAGAUUAACAAAGUAAAUUUAGUCAAUGUAAGCUUAUGGGAACUAAAUUACUGACUGAGUGCAGCAAUAGCCUAACAGAAUUGAGGAAAGGAAGCAUCAUCUAACCAGAAGAGCAAAGCUACCUUAGCUCAGCCUGGCUUUGGUUGGGUCAAGAAAUCAAGGAGUGAAGUAACAAA